CCUACGGGAGGCAGCAGUGGGGAAUAUUGCGCAAUGGGCGAAAGCCUGACGCAGCGACGCCGCGUGAGGGAUGAAGGUCUUCGGAUCGUAAACCUCUGUCAGCAGGGAAGAACGGUCACUGUGCUAAUCAGCAGUGAAUUGACGGUACCUGCAAAGGAAGCACCGGCUAACUCCGUGCCAGCAGCCGCGGUAAUACGGAGGGUGCGAGCGUUAAUCGGAAUUACUGGGCGUAAAGCGCUCGUAGGCGGUAUGUCAAGGCAAGGGUGAAAGCCCCGCGCUCAACGUGGGAACUGCCUUUGAUACUGGCAAACUGGAGUGUGUGAGAGGAUAGUGGAAUGCCAGGUGUAGGAGUGAAAUCCGUAGAGAUCUGGAGGAACAUCAGUGGCGAAGGCGACUAUCUGGCACAUAACUGACGCUGAGGAGCGAAAGCGUGGGUAGCAAACAGGAUUAGAUACCCUAGUAGUC
rnacentral:rRNA from 1 species